GACAGAGGGGGCAAGCGUUGCUCGGAAUUACUGGGCGUAAAGGGCGCGUAGGCGGGAUGGCAAGUCGGUCGUGAAAUCCCUCGGCUCAACCGAGGAACGUCGAUCGAUACUGCCGUUCUUGAGGAUUGCAGAGGAGACUGGAAUUCCCGGUGUAGCGGUGAAAUGUGUAGAGAUCGGGAGGAACACCGGUGGCGAAGGCGGGUCUCUGGGCAAUUCCUGACGCUGAGGCGCGACAGCGUGGGGAGCAAACAGG
rnacentral:rRNA from 1 species